GAGUCUGUUGAAGAGAUCAAAGGUACAGAGCAAGUGGAUAAGGUUUUGAAAGAUCCACCUCCAUACUUUCCCCUGGGAAACAAUGGCCUUGGCGCUUCAUGGUAAAAACUGUAAAAUCUACUUACACAGGCCUUGUUCAUUGCCAAGAAAAUGAAGUUGUUGCCUUUAUUCGGUUGAAAGACCCUACAAAAACCACACACUGGCAGGGAGAUUAGUCAGAGAGUCAAGUAAGAAGUCAUAACCUUGUCUCAUAUAAUAUAUGAAGAAAAAAGCAAAGUAAGAAAUUCAUAAAAUCAGCAUAAUGUUUUCAUUCAAACUAUUUAUAGAAUUAACGUAUAUUGCCAAACUACAAUUGAAGGCUGUCAAAAGGAAUCACCAACCAAGGAAGGUAUCUUUUCGUCAUUCCCUCUCAAGAAGUUCAGGAUAUUCAAUUCUUGUUAGUUAGUUAAUUAACCUUUCAUCGAAAGAAAUGUUGCAUUCAAGAAUCAAGAACAUGCACCAGAGUUUUCUAACAAAGUAAUAGCCUUUAAAAGAAGCCAAUUCUAGCAGCAUUAUCAAACCCCCGAAACCCAAUGCAUUAAUGCAGCAAAAACCACAAGUUGGUAAUUUCUUUUCCAAUCUUAAAAUCUUCUUCUUGUCAAGGGCCAUUGUCUAGUCACUAGUGUAAUGGCAAGAGCUUUGGGCCUAUAACCACAGCAGUAUGUAGC
rnacentral:misc_RNA from 1 species